rnacentral:tRNA from 1 species
GCCUCUAUAGCUCAGCCUGGAGAGAGCAGCUGCCUUCUAAGGAGCAUGUCCGGGGUUCAAAUCCUCGUAGAGGCG